GCCUUUAUAGCUCAGUGGUAGAGCGCAGCACUUGUAUGUCCAAUCACAAGUUCAUGCUGAGGUCCAUCGUUCAAUCCGGUGUGGAGGCA